rnacentral:tRNA from 1 species
GUUUGGCAUAUAACCUUUUCGUGGUUGUGGUAAGUAAGGUUCCAUGUAAGUU